GGAGAGGUGCCAGAGCGGCUGAAUGGGCCGGUCUCGAAAACCGGUAUGGCGCUUGCGUCAUCGGGAGUUCGAAUCUCCCCCUCUCCG
rnacentral:tRNA from 1 species